UGGGGAAUUUUGGGCAAUGGGCGAAAGCCUGACCCAGCAACGCCGCGUGAAGGAUGAAGUAUUUCGGUAUGUAAACUUCGAAAGAAUAGGAAGAAUAAAUGACGGUACUAUUUAUAAGGUCCGGCUAACUACGUGCCAGCAGCCGCGGUAAUACGUAGGGACCAAGCGUUGUUCGGAUUUACUGGGCGUAAAGGGCGCGUAGGCGGCAAUUCAAGUCAUCUGUGAAAUCUCCGGGCUUAACUCGGAACGGUCAGAUGAUACUGCUUUGCUAGAGUGCAGAAGGGGCAAUCGGAAUUCUUGGUGUAGCGGUGAAAUGCGUAGAUAUCAAGAGGAACACCUGAGGUGAAGACGGGUUGCUGGGCUGACACUGACGCUGAGGCGCGAAAGCC
rnacentral:rRNA from 1 species